AUGAAUUGUAUAAGUUGGAACUGUCGGGGGGCGGCCAACAAACCGACAGUUCGUGACUUAGUUGGCAUGGUGAAAUCUACGAAAGCAAAAAUUGUUUUUCUGUGUGAGACUAGGCAGAGUUCAGACAAAGUCAAGCGUUUGUGUGGGAGAUUAGGUUUAAGGGGCUUCUCUGGAGUUAGUAGUGUUGGUUUGAGUGGAGGCCUUGCCCUCUUUUGGUGUGAUAGUCUGCAUGUCAAAGUUCAGUCAGCUAAUGAAAGAUUCAUUGAUGUGCACGUGCGACUCUCUGAGCAUGAUCCUUUGUGGCGGCUGACGUGUGUCUACGGGGAGCCGCGUACUGAGAACAGACACCGUAUGUGGACAAUUAUGAGAGACCUCAAACAAUCCUCUGAUCUACCGUGGUGUGUCAUGGAUGACUUCAACGAAGCUAUGUGGUCAUUUGAGCAUUUUUCUACAACACCACGCAGCGAUAGCCAGAUGUUGGCUUUCCGGGAUACUUUAGAGGUAUGUGCGCUUGUUGAUCUCGGUUUUACCGUUUACUUAUGA
rnacentral:rRNA from 1 species